CUCAUCUUCAAUAGGUUCUUGCAUUAUGUGACAUUCCAUCUGUUUUGGAGAAGCCUGAAACACCGGCUUUAUUCAGUUCUGACGCAAUAAAGCAAGCUUGGAAUAUUAUUGAUAUGAUUCCUGGGCAAGCAACUGGUGCCUAUAGUCAUAGUCAGGGUAUUAAGGGCCUGCGAGAUACAAUAGCCAAAGGAAUUGAAGAACGUGAUAGUUUUCCUGCCAAUCCCAAUGACAUUUUCUUGACAGAUGGGGCAAGCCCAGCGGUAACAAUUUUUGAAUGUUGAGAGUGUAGU